rnacentral:ncRNA from 1 species
CGGCCGCAGAGCGAUGAGGCCCGCUCCACAACCGCGGCGUGACCGCUGAUGGCUUCUACGACCAC